UCUGUGUGUAUCAAUCUAUAAUCAAUAUUUCUAUGUGUGUAUCAAUCUACAAUAAACUCUUCCAUGUGUGUAUCAAUCUAUAAUCAAUAUUUCUCUGUGUGUAUCAAUCUACCAUAAACACUUCUAGGUGUGUAUCAAUCUAUAAUCAAUAUUUCUAUUUCUAUACCAAUCUACCAUAAACACCUCUCUGUGUGUAUCAAUCUAUAAUCAAUAUUUCUCUUUGGGUUUUAGACUACAAUAAACAUGUUGUACUCACCCCUAAUCAUAUUUCUAUUUGUGUAUGAAUCUAUAAUAAACACUUUGUGUGUAUCAAUCUAUAAUCAAUAUUUCUAUUUGUGUAUCAAUCUAUAAUAAACACUUUGUGUGUAUCAAUCUAUAAUCAAUAUUUCUCUUUGUGUUUCAAACUAUAAUAAACAUAUUGCACUCACCUCUAUUCAUAUUUCUAUAUGUGUAUCAAUUUAUAAUCAAUAUUUUAUUUGGGUAUCAAUCUAUAAUAAACACUUGGGUGUGUAUCAGUCUAUAAUCAAUAUUUCUAUGUGUGUAUCAAUCUCUAAUCAAUAUUUCUAUUUCUGUAUCAAUCUAUAAUCAAUAUUUCUAUUUAUGUUUCAAACUAUAAUAAACAUAUUGUACUCACCUCUAUUCAUAUUUCUCUGUGUGCAUCAAUCUCUAAUCAAUAUUUCUAUUUCUGUAUCAAUCUCUAAUCAAUAUUUCUAUUUCUGUAUCAAUCUCUAAUCAAUAUUUCUCUUUGUGUAUCAAUGCAAAGAAAUGGCCACAAAUCAAUUUGAUGGACACAAAUCAGGUUCCUCCUCUCUGCUCCCAGGGAUGAACCCGUGGGGUUCCUGCUCUGCAGGGUUUGGGGGGAUGAACCCCAAAUGUCAGCCAGAGCCUGCACUCUGUGCUGGGGGUUAUGGGAUGAACCCCAAAUGUCAGCCAGAGCCUGCACUCUGUGCUGGGGUUUAUGGGAUGAACCCCAAAUGUCAGCCAGAGCCUGCACUCUGUGCUGGGGUUUAUGGGAUGAACCCCAAAUGUCAGCCAGAGCCUGCACUCUGUGCUGGGGUUUUGGGGUUCCUGCUCUGCAGGGUUUGGGGG